CUGCAUUCCUUUGGACAGCUUUGCUCAUUCCACUGCAAGGCAAAGCUCCACAGAUUUGUAGGAAAAUAUCCAACGGUUUGUUUUGCAGAGCGAGGCUGUGCAGUAGUUUGUUGUAAUUGGCAUGUGAGGCUGGGACAGAAAGGCAGCCAACUUCUGCCAAUUUAUCCUGCUCCGGCAGCAUCUCCCGUGAGCUGAUUGCUAGCAACGUGCAGUGCUGCUCUCAUCAGCUACCUUUGAACUGCUCUGGAUGGAAGCAAGAAAGCAAUCACUGCGUGCUGCGGGCAGGGCGAGGCAGGAGAUAACACAGAGGAAUUCAGCUUGCUUCAUUAAAAGUGAAGGGAAGGAGCCUGGCAGAGGCACAGCCUGCACUCAGAAGUAAUGAACUCACUGUGACGGAGGACAGCUUGUUCUCUGCCCCUUAUUUAUUUACUCGCUCGUUUGCACGAUAACAGAUGGAUAUCAGCGUGUGCUGUGCAGAAGGUACAGCACUGCUAAACCGUCUGCAACCAGCUGCAAUGAAGAACUUCUCUCCUGAUAAGAGGUGAAGAGUAUGGCUUCAUUAGAUGAGCCAAGGAGGAAUGGGAAGAGGACAUGAUGCCUUGGAGAAACACAACAGGGCUAAACCCCGCGGAGGAAAAGGCAAUAUUUAACAUAGGACAGUGCUGCUAUGAGGACAGGCUGUGAGGACUCGUCAUAAGUUGAGACUGGAGAGCAGAAUAAAGUUUCUGAAUUCAGGAGAGAAAAAAGUAGA
rnacentral:lncRNA from 1 species